UACGUAGGUGGCAAGCGUUGUCCGGAAUUAUCGGGCGUAAAGCGCGCGCAGGCGGUCCCUUAAGUCUGAUGUGAAAGCCCACGGCUCAACCGUGGAGGGUCAUUGGAAACUGGGGGACUUGAGUACAGAAGAGGAAAGCGGAAUUCCACGUGUAGCGGUGAAAUGCGUAGAGAUGUGGAGGAACACCAGUGGCGAAGGCGGCUUUCUGGUCUGUAACUGACGCUGAGGCGCGAAAGCGUGGGGAGCAAACAGG
rnacentral:rRNA from 1 species